rnacentral:rRNA from 1 species
CAUAUCAAUAAGCGGAGGAAAAGAAACCAACAGGGAUUGCCUCAGUAGCGGCGAGUGAAGCGGCAAAAGCUCAAAUUUGAAAUCUGGCGUCUUUGGCGUCCGAGUUGUAAUUUGAAGAAGGUAUCUUUGGGCCCGGCUCUUGUCUAUGUUCCUUGGAACAGGACGUCACAGAGGGUGAGAAUCCCGUGCGAUGAGAUGACCCGGGUCUGUGUAAAGUUCCUUCGACGAGUCGAGUUGUUUGGGAAUGCAGCUCUAAGUGGGUGGUAAAUUCCAUCUAAAGCUAAAUAUUGGCGAGAGACCGAUAGCGAACAAGUACAGUGAUGGAAAGAUGAAAAGAACUUUGAAAAGAGAGUGAAAAAGUACGUGAAAUUGUUGAAAGGGAAGGAAAGUGAGAUCAGACUUGGUAUUUUGCAUGCUGCUCUCUCGGGGGCGGCCGCUGCGGUUUACCGGGCCAGCAUCGUUUUGGUCGCAGGAUAAUGGCGGAGGAAUGUGGCACGGCUUCUGCUUUUUAUAGCCUCUGACGAUACUUCCAGCCUAG